UACGUAUGGUGCAAGCGUUAUCCGGAUUUACUGGGUGUAAAGGGAGCGUAGACGGCUGUGUAAGUCUGAAGUGAAAACCCGGGGCUCAACCCCGGGACUGCUUUGGAAACUAUGCAGCUAGAGUGUCGGAGAGGUAAGUGGAAUUCCCAGUGUAGCGGUGAAAUGCGUAGAUAUUGGGAGGAACACCAGUGGCGAAGGCGGCUUACUGGACGAUGACUGACGUUGAGGCUCGAAAGCGUGGGGAGCAAACAGG
rnacentral:rRNA from 1 species